UGGGGAAUUUUGGACAAUGGGCGCAAGCCUGAUCCAGCAAUGCCGCGUGCAGGAUGAAGGCCUUCGGGUUGUAAACUGCUUUUGUCAGGGAAGAAACGAGUUUCUCUAAUACAGAGACUUAAUGACGGUACCUGAAGAAUAAGCACCGGCUAACUACGUGCCAGCAGCCGCGGUAAUACGUAGGGUGCAAGCGUUAAUCGGAAUUACUGGGCGUAAAGCGUGCGCAGGCGGUUAUAUAAGACAGAUGUGAAAUCCCCGGGCUCAACCUGGGACCUGCAUUUGUGACUGUAUAGCUAUAGUACGGUAGAGGGGGAUGGAAUUCCGAGUGUAGCAGUGAAAUGCGUAGAUAUGCGGAGGAACACCGAUGGCGAAGGCAAUCCCCUGGACCUGUACUGACGCUCAUGCACGAAAGCGUGGGGAGCAAACA
rnacentral:rRNA from 1 species